rnacentral:tRNA from 1 species
UAGCUCACAUGGUAAAGAAUCUGUCUGCAAUACAGGAGACCCAGGUUCAAUUCCUGG